GAUGAAGAACGUAUCGAAAUGCGAUACGUAAUGUGAAUUGCAGAAUUCAGUGAAUCAUCGAAUCUUUGAACGCACAUUGCGCCUGCCAGCACUCUGGCAGGCAUGCCUGUUCGAGCGUCAUUUCAACCAUCAAGCCCUAGGCUUGCGUUGGAGCCCUGCGGCUGCCGCAGGCCCCUAAAAGCAGUGGCGGGCUCGCUAUCACACCGAGUGCAGUAGAUUACUCUUCGCUCAGGGCGUGUGGCGGGUUCCAGCCGUGAAACCCCCUACUUCUCAAGGUUGACCUCGGAUCAGGUAGGAAUACCCGCUGAACUUAAGCAUAUCAAUAAGCGGAGGA
rnacentral:misc_RNA from 1 species